UCCAGUCUCCUAUUCAUUUUGAGUUUCUACAGUCUCCCUAAAACGCUACAUCACGACAUUGGUUCGGUUCAUGCUCGAUUCUACUAGGCCGACAAGGGUGACAAGCAGAAGUACCAUAUGGUCCGCUGGACCGACAUCUGCAAACCCCGGGACCAAGGUGGUCUCGGAAUCAUGUCCUCCAAGCGCAUGAACCUGGCUCUCCUCACGAGGUGGCUCUGGCGCAUUGCAAAUGGCGAUGGUGGCUUGUGGUUCCAGAUCAUCAGCCGCAAAUAUUUGCGCGGACAACCCCUCGCCUUUUACGUUAGGACAGACGGCUCCCAGUUCUGGCAGUCCGUCAUUCAGUUGCUCCCGGUCCUCCGCAUUGGGACCUCCAUCUCGGUCGGAGCUGGGAUGUCCAUGAUGUUUUGGUUCGAUCGGUGGGCUAGGGAUCUCCCCUUCCCCCCAGGUUCCAGACCUCUUCUCCAUUGUGGUCGAACCUAG
rnacentral:rRNA from 1 species